ACAAUGCUUUUGGCCAAAGCUUAGGUGCUGGAGGAAUUUUUUUCCUUCAGCAAAUGCCUUCUGCAACCCCCUGCUGCACGGGUGUUUUAAUUACACAUUUGUGAAGACAUACAAUGACUUCUCUUGUUCCAUGUGGAUGGGCCUCAUGCUUCCCUCUGGCUCUAAGGAGGGAAAUAACAACUUUUGGUUUGCGUGAAUCCUCAAAAAUCCUCCCCUUUACUUACAAGACCUUUGCUCUCCUUCGGCUGUUUGAGUUGUGCUAGUCACCAUUCCCCCAACCACAGCAAGUGCAGGUGAAUACUGUCCGCUUGCGCGUUCACUGGGUUUUACUGUGAUAGAAGGGUUCUCGGCAGUUGACGAAUUCAACGUUAACCGUUUAGUUCACCAUUACAUGUUGGAAUGUGAAGAUAGCGGAAGGACAGCCGGAUGGAGGGUAAUUAGGAGGAAAUCCUGAGAAAGAAUCUUCAAAAUACUGAAAAAAAAAUUGCUGGCGGCACUAUUCAUGGAAAGUGGAAUUUGGCCCGGCUGUGACCCCCCAUGCCAGGCUUUAACUCCCUGGUGGAGGAGACAGAUGGUGAGGCGAGGAAAGACAGAAAAGUGACUGCUUACUCCAGAGAAGCAAAUGAAAGAAAAUAGAAUAUUAUAUUUUCUCCUUACCAUAUAAGCCUCAAAUAAAAAGCAUCUAACAAUUCAAUGAUCUUAACUUGGACCUGGCAGGAGAUAUAUACUGAAGCAGUGGCUAAAACUCUAAAAGGUACCAAUCUGUAAGGCUAUGAGAUGACAUAUCAAUUUUUUUCUCAGAAGAAACACCCUAGCUACAUUUCAUCAUUGAAUGUGGCCAUGUAUUGGCCCAGUAAUCUUCACAAGCAUCACAACCAAUUACUUAGGGCUUUA